CGAGCCGUAAAUAAUGAGACGUGGCCUUCAAUGGGGUCAAUGUAUGAGCUUAUGAGAAUUAUGAGACAGGGGAUAAUGACUAUAAUCCCCACUUCAUAUCAGUGGGUGAUUGAUAUCAUCAAUCGUUGAUGGACUGGGACUCUCGAGCAUCCACUCCACCAAGCUGCAUACUACCUAAAUCCCAAAUUUCAUUAUAAACGUCGGCUCCAUGAGAAUUAAGAUUUGACGAUGGCCGUCCACGAGGCGUUCGAACGAUUAUUCCCAGAAUCAACAGCGCAAGCAGAUUUCGGUAACCAGUUGUUGCGGUUUAGGGAUGCGAGGGGUACAUUCUCAUCCGCACUAGCAAAAGCAUCGACUAAAAUGAUGAUGCCGUGUGAGUGGUGGGCGAUGUACGGAGUCGACACGCCAACACUGUAGUUAUUGGCAGUUCGUGUUCUCGCACAGACUAUAUCCUCCUCACCGUGUGAGAGGAAUUGGAGCACAUGGUCACUCAUACACACCAGCAAGAGGAACAGACUAGCAUAUGAGAAGCUGUAAAAGCUCGUUUACUGCCAUUACAAUAUGAAGUUAAGAGAGAGACAAUUGCGGGUAGAUCGAGACAUGGAGGAAAAUUAAGACCCGUUAGACCUAUUGUCUAUAGAUAACAUGGCACAGAUAGGUGAUGAUGAUGAGGACCCACUUUAUGAGUGGGUCAAAUCAACUGAUUUAAAUGAUGCGGAGGGAGGCCCUGCCCCACAGGUAGCCGAGGGAGCAGCGGCUCUGGGUAUCGAUGUCGAUCAAGUAGUAGAGGAACAAAAGGCGGAUACAGACUCCUUUGAUCCUUUGGUGAGGAGUUCGGCACAUUCCAAUCAGGGUGAGGAAGCAUCUUCACGGCCCCGUCCUCAUCAUCAA